rnacentral:lncRNA from 7 species
AGAUCACGCACGACAUGGGAGAGAAAUGGAGUGGGGCCCAUAGAAUAGUACCUUUCCUUCUUUCACUGCGCACGACGGAGCACGCGUUUUCUUCACCACGAUGCAAUUGCACGGGCCGGUGGUUUCUUCGUCACUUUUGGAAUGCAGGGGCAGCGAGCGUCGGGUGUCCGUGCAUGUUUGCCGGUGGGCGACCUAGCGGUGUGGCACAACAGCUGUGCAGGAGGGGCGUGGGGCACCAGCGGCUCAUCGGCCAUGCGAGCUACGCCGGGUCGCCGCGCUGGCCGCGCCGGGCGAGUAGAGCGUCGGCAGCGGAGGCUCGCCGGGGCGCCGCUUGGCCAGCACGCCACAACGUCGAUGGAAAGGGCAGGGCGGUGCGGAUGCUCG